rnacentral:rRNA from 1 species
CCUACGGGUGGCAGCAGUCGAGAAUCAUUCACAAUGGGGGAAACCCUGAUGGUGCGACGCCGCGUGGGGGAAUGAAGGUCUUCGGAUUGUAAACCCCUGUCAUGUGGGAGCAAAUUAAAAAGAUCGUACCACAAUAGGAAGAGACGGCUAACUCUGUGCCAGCAGCCGCGGUAAUACAGAGGUCUCAAGCGUUGUUCGGAAUCACUGGGCGUAAAGCGUGCGUAGGCUGUUUCGUAAGUCGUGUGUGAAAGGCGCGGGCUCAACCCGCGGACGGCACAUGAUACUGCGAGACUAGAGUAAGGGAGGGGGAACCGGAAUUCUCGGUGUAGCAGUGAAAUGCGUAGAUAUCGAGAGGAACACUCGUGGCGAAGGCGGGUUCCUGGACAGUAACUGACGCUGAGGCACGAAGGCCAGGGGAGCGAAAGGGAUUAGAUACCCCAGUAGUC